GGAAGGGACCGGAGGGGAAAGUGCCCCCUGGAGACUGUCCGGCCCCAGACCUAUUUCUUCCCCAGUUCUCAAGGAUAGAUUUAAAAUAUCCCGGGUGCGGUGCUGUAGUAGCCAUGGUGAGCCCAGGAUAUUCGAGGCUGCCCCCGUGAUUUAUAUACAAAUGUUCCGUGUUAUUUUCCAUCCCAUUCCUUAUGGAUCUGAACACGUUCGCUUUUCUGCUGGCCGCUGUGCAGUGAGUGGAGCUUUGCAUUGAUCUGUCUACAGCAGUGCUUCCCAACCUUUUUGUGGCCAGUAGCACAUUCAGGUUUUCAGAAGAGUGUGGCGGGCUGCAGCCCUGGAGAAGCUGGAGAAAAGCUGCAGCCCCGCGCCUGCCAGGGACAG